UACACAGAAAAGAACAAAAUAAAAAAAUAAAAAAAUAAAAAAAAAUGCCUGAAAUUACAUGAGCCUUGUGCUUGACGUUUUUCUAGGUUUUUUUUUCUCUUUUUUCUUUCUUUCUUUUUUUCUUCUCCAAGAAAGCGGGCGGAAGGGCUUUAUUCGACCCGUCUUGUAACACGGACCAAGGAGUCCAGCAUGCACGCAAGUGCCUGGGCUGUAAACCCACGCGCGUAGUGAAAGUAAAGGCAUUUUUCUUUUAAUUUUUUUCUUUUAAAAAAAAAAAAAUUAAAAAAAAACUAAAAAAAA
rnacentral:ribozyme from 1 species